GAUGAACGCUGGCGGCGUGCCUAAUACAUGCGAGUCGAGCGAACGGACGAGAAGCUUGCUUCUCUGAUGUUAGCGGCGGACGGGUGAGUAACACGUGGAUAACCUACCUAUAAGACUGGGAUAACUUCGGGAAACCGGAGCUAAUACCGGAUAAUAUUUUGAACCGCAUGGUUCAAAAGUGAAAGACGGUCUUGCCGUCACUUAUAGAUGGAUCCGCGCUGCAUUAGCUAGUUGGUAAGGUAACGGCUUACCAAGGCAACGAUGCAUAGCCGACCUGAGAGGGUGAUCGGCCACACUGGAACUGAGACACGGUCCAGACUCCUACGGGAGGCAGCAGUAGGGAAUCUUCCGCAAUGGGCGAAAGCCUGACGGAGCAACGCCGCGUGAGUGAUGAAGGUCUUCGGAUCGUAAAACUCUGUUAUUAGGGAAGAACAUAUGUGUAAGUAACUGUGCACAUCUUGACGGUACCUAAUCAGAAAGCCACGGCUAACUACGUG
rnacentral:rRNA from 1 species